GGGCAGCAGUGGGGAAUUUUGGACAAUGGGGGCAACCCUGAUCCAGCCAUUCCGCGUGAGUGAAGAAGGCCUUCGGGUUGUAAAGCUCUUUCAGCUGGAACGAAACGGUACGCGCUAACAUCGUGUGCUAAUGACGGUACCGGCAGAAGAAGCACCGGCUAACUACGUGCCAGCAGCCGCGGUAAUACGUAGGGUGCGAGCGUUAAUCGGAAUUACUGGGCGUAAAGCGUGCGCAGGCGGAUUGUUAAGCAAGAUGUGAAAUCCCCGGGCUUAACCUGGGAAUGGCAUUUUGAACUGGCAGUCUAGAGUGCGUCAGAGGGGGGUGGAAUUCCACGUGUAGCAGUGAAAUGCGUAGAGAUGUGGAGGAACACCAAUGGCGAAGGCAGCCCCCUGGGAUGACACUGACGCUCAUGUACGAAAGCGUGGGUAGCAAACAGGAUUAGAUACCCCAGUAGUC
rnacentral:rRNA from 1 species